CAAGAAGAAGCCCCGGGUUAAUUCCGGUCCCAGCAGCCGCGGUAAUACGGAGGGUGCGAGCGUUAAUCGGAAUUACUGGGCGUAAAGCGCAUGCAGGUGGUUCAUUAAGUCAGAUGUGAAAGCCCGGGGCUCAACCUCGGAACUGCAUUUGAAACUGGUGAACUAGAGUACUGUAGAGGGGGGUAGAAUUUCAGGUGUAGCGGUGAAAUGCGUAGAGAUCUGAAGGAAUACCAGUGGCGAAGGCGGCCCCCUGGACAGAUACUGACACUCAGAUGCGAAAGCGUGGGGAGCAAACAGGAUUAGAUACCCUGGUAGUCCACGCCGUAAACGAUGUCUACUUGGAGGUUGUGGCCUUGAGCCGUGGCUUUCGGAGCUAACGCGUUAAGUAGACCGCCUGGGGAGUACGGUCGCAAGAUUAAAACUCAAAUGAAUUGACGGGGGCCCGCACAAGCGGUGGAGCAUGUGGUUUAAUUCGAUGCAACGCGAAGAACCUUACCUACUCUUGACAUCCAGAGAAGCCAGCGGAGACGCAGGUGUGCCUUCGGGAGCUCUGAGACAGGUGCUGCAUGGCUGUCGUCAGCUCGUGUUGUGAAAUGUUGGGUUAAGUCCCGCAACGAGCGCAACCCUUAUCCUUGUUUGCCAGCGAGUAAUGUCGGGAACUCCAGGGAGACUGCCGGUGAUAAACCGGAGGAAGGUGGGGACGACGUCAAGUCAUCAUGGCCCUUACGAGUAGGGCUACACACGUGCUACAAUGGCGCAUACAGAGGGCAGCAAGCCAGCGAUGGUAAGCGAAUCCCAAAAAGUGCGUCGUAGUCCGGAUUGGAGUCUGCAACUCGACUCCAUGAAGUCGGAAUCGCUAGUAAUCGUAGAUCAGAAUGCUACGGUGAAUACGUUCCCGGGCCUUGUACACACCGCCCGUCACACCAUGGGAGUGGGCUGCAAAAGAAGUGGGUAGUUUAACCUUUCGGGGAGGACGCUCACCACUUUGUGGUUCAUGACUGGGGUGAAGUCGUAACAAGGUAGCCGU
rnacentral:rRNA from 1 species